CUUGCUUUCUUUGCUGGCGACCGGCGCACGGGUGAGUAACACGUAUCCAACCUGCCCUUUACUCGGGGAUAGCCUUUCGAAAGAAAGAUUAAUACCCGAUAGUAUAAUGAUUCCGCAUGGUUUCAUUAUUAAAGGAUUCCGGUAAAGGAUGGGGAUGCGUUCCAUUAGGUUGUUGGUGAGGUAACGGCUCACCAAGCCUUCGAUGGAUAGGGGUUCUGGGAGGAAGGUCCCCCACAUUGGAACUGAGACACGGUCCAA
rnacentral:rRNA from 1 species